CCAAGGUUCAGCGUAUGGACUCCCUCCCACUUCACAACGCACAGAUAAAGGCUGUCAACAAAGGACGUCAUUAUGACGUAGAAUAUUCCAACACGUGGGCGAGUGCGCGCACACGUUGCGAACAGGUGUGAACACAGGAAAGCCGCGUGCACACCGGAAACUAUUUGCCCGUCGCAAAAACAAACAAACAAAAAAACUAUUUGCCGUCGCGCAUCGCUAUCAAGGUGUCAGCUGGUCACACUGUGGCUAUGCCAGGUUGCCUAGGUGACCAGCAGCUCAUAUGCCGAUCGCCUGUAUUCGUCGUUCUGUAUUCAUCGGCAGAGUCUUUGGUCGUUCACUUCUAGGUUAGUGUUGUUUAGUAUAUUAAUUGAAGCAAUCUCUUCACUUACGAAAAUUCACUAUGGUUUACUAUGGCCCGCUCACAGACAGCGGCUCGCCAAACAGCGGCUCCGCUCCGGACUCACAGCGGAUCCCCUUCAGCAAACGCGCCUUUUUUUUUCCAAAGUUACCGGCUGCUCACACAGAAAGCAGGGAGUGGACGGCAGCGCUUCUUUACGAGUUAAAGAACAACAAUGGAGCAGAAUCUGGAUGUUAUCUGAACGGACUCUAGGACAUAGAAAUGUCAUCAGUUUCUUUCAGGUGGAUGUGACCAUGGAGGAGCCACAAAGGAGGAGGAGCUUUGAUACCAGGUCAGUUGUGAGCCACAGGGGUCGUCAUCUUUUUUUAUUGUUUAAGUUUUAAAGUGUUGUUGCUCGUGUGUUAACUAAUCUUAAGGAGGAGCUGUCUGUAGUGAGGGCAGUGAGUCUGUGUUACCUCGCUUGUAUCUUUCUGACUUUUGACAAACAGAAAUGUAUUUCAUGCUUGAUUAAAUUAAGCUUUUUAAAAUUGCAUUAACACUGCCCAUUUUACUGUGUGAUUGGCUGGAAUAUGGGUUGUUAUAUUUGUUUGUUUGCUUGUUAUAACAUAAAAUAACUUUU